ACUGUCUGUAUACAAAAGAGUAACAAAAGAUACAACUCUUGGCGAUGGAUAUCUUGUUCUCCGCC
rnacentral:rRNA from 1 species